rnacentral:rRNA from 1 species
AAGCGCAUACGGUGGAUGCCUUGGCAGUCAGAGGCGAUGAAAGACGUGGUAGCCUGCGAAAAGCUUCGGGGAGUCGGCAAACAGACUUUGAUCCGGAGAUGUCUGAAUGGGGGAACCCAGCCAUCAUAAGAUGGUUAUCUUGUACUGAAUACAUAGGUGCAAGAGGCGAACCAGGGGAACUGAAACAUCUAAGUACCCUGAGGAAAAGAAAUCAACCGAGAUUCCCUUAGUAGUGGCGAGCGAACGGGGACUAGCCCUUAAGUGGCUUUGAGAUUAGCGGAACGCUCUGGAAAGUGCGGCCAUAGUGGGUGAUAGCCCUGUACGCGAAAAUCUCUUAGUCAUGAAAUCGAGUAGGACGGAGCACGAGAAACUUUGUCUGAAUAUGGGGGGACCAUCCUCCAAGGCUAAAUACUACUGACUGACCGAUAGUGAACUAGUACCGUGAGGGAAAGGCGAAAAGAACCCCGGAGAGGGGAGUGAAAUAGAUCCUGAAACCGUAUGCGUACAAGCAGUGGGAGCCUACUUGUUAGGUGACUGCGUACCUUUUGUAUAAUGGGUCAGCGACUUAUUUUCAGUGGCGAGCUUAACCGAAUAGGGGAGGCGUAGCGAAAGCGAGUCUUAAUAGGGCGUCUAGUCGCUGGGAAUAGACCCGAAACCGGGCGAUCUAUCCAUGGGCAGGUUGAAGGUUGGGUAACACUAACUGGAGGACCGAACCGACUACCGUUGAAAAGUUAGCGGAUGACCUGUGGAUCGGAGUGAAAGGCUAAUCAAGCUCGGAGAUAGCUGGUUCUCCUCGAAAGCUAUUUAGGUAGCGCCUCAUGUAUCACUGUAGGGGGUAGAGCACUGUUUCGGCUAGGGGGUCAUCCCGACUUACCAAACCGAUGCAAACUCCGAAUACCUACAAGUGCCGAGCAUGGGAGACACACGGCGGGUGCUAACGUCCGUCGUGAAAAGGGAAACAACCCAGACCGUCAGCUAAGGUCCCAAAGUUAUGGUUAAGUGGGAAACGAUGUGGGAAGGCUUAGACAGCUAGGAGGUUGGCUUAGAAGCAGCCACCCUUUAAAGAAAGCGUAAUAGCUCACUAGUCGAGUCGGCCUGCGCGGAAGAUGUAACGGGGCUCAAACCAUACACCGAAGCUACGGGUAUCACGUAAGUGAUGCGGUAGAGGAGCGUUCUGUAAGCCUGUGAAGGUGAGUUGAGAAGCUUGCUGGAGGUAUCAGAAGUGCGAAUGCUGACAUGAGUAACGACAAUGGGUGUGAAAAACACCCACGCCGAAAGACCAAGGUUUCCUGCGCAACGUUAAUCGACGCAGGGUUAGUCGGUCCCUAAGGCGAGGCUGAAAAGCGUAGUCGAUGGAAAACAGGUUAAUAUUCCUGUACUUCUGGUUAUUGCGAUGGAGGGACGGAGAAGGCUAGGCCAGCUUGGCGUUGGUUGUCCAAGUUUAAGGUGGUAGGCUGAGAUCUUAGGUAAAUCCGGGAUCUUAAGGCCGAGAGCUGAUGACGAGCUAACUUUUAGUUAGCGAAGUGGUUGAUGCCAUGCUUCCAAGAAAAGCUUCUAAGCUUCAGGUAACCAGGAACCGUACCCCAAACCGACACAGGUGGUUGGGUAGAGAAUACCAAGGCGCUUGAGAGAACUCGGGUGAAGGAACUAGGCAAAAUGGCACCGUAACUUCGGGAGAAGGUGCGCCGGUGAGGGUGAAGGACUUGCUCCGUAAGCUCAUGCCGGUCGAAGAUACCAGGCCGCUGCGACUGUUUAUUAAAAACACAGCACUCUGCAAACACGAAAGUGGACGUAUAGGGUGUGACGCCUGCCCGGUGCCGGAAGGUUAAUUGAUGGGGUUAGCUAACGCGAAGCUCUUGAUCGAAGCCCCGGUAAACGGCGGCCGUAACUAUAACGGUCCUAAGGUAGCGAAAUUCCUUGUCGGGUAAGUUCCGACCUGCACGAAUGGCGUAACGAUGGCGGCGCUGUCUCCACCCGAGACUCAGUGAAAUUGAAAUCGCUGUGAAGAUGCAGUGUAUCCGCGGCUAGACGGAAAGACCCCGUGAACCUUUACUAUAGCUUUGCACUGGACUUUGAAUUUGCUUGUGUAGGAUAGGUGGGAGGCUUUGAAGCGUGGACGCCAGUUCGCGUGGAGCCAUCCUUGAAAUACCACCCUGGCAACUUUGAGGUUCUAACUCAGGUCCGUUAUCCGGAUCGAGGACAGUGUAUGGUGGGUAGUUUGACUGGGGCGGUCUCCUCCUAAAGAGUAACGGAGGAGUACGAAGGUGCGCUCAGACCGGUCGGAAAUCGGUCGUAGAGUAUAAAGGCAAAAGCGCGCUUGACUGCGAGACAGACACGUCGAGCAGGUACGAAAGUAGGUCUUAGUGAUCCGGUGGUUCUGUAUGGAAGGGCCAUCGCUCAACGGAUAAAAGGUACUCCGGGGAUAACAGGCUGAUACCGCCCAAGAGUUCAUAUCGACGGCGGUGUUUGGCACCUCGAUGUCGGCUCAUCACAUCCUGGGGCUGAAGCCGGUCCCAAGGGUAUGGCUGUUCGCCAUUUAAAGUGGUACGCGAGCUGGGUUUAGAACGUCGUGAGACAGUUCGGUCCCUAUCUGCCGUGGACGUUUGAGAUUUGAGAGGGGCUGCUCCUAGUACGAGAGGACCGGAGUGGACGAACCUCUGGUGUUCCGGUUGUCACGCCAGUGGCAUUGCCGGGUAGCUAUGUUCGGAAUAGAUAACCGCUGAAAGCAUCUAAGCGGGAAACUAGCCUCAAGAUGAGAUCUCACUGGAACCUUGAGUUCCCUGAAGGGCCGUCGAAGACUACGACGUUGAUAGGUUGGGUGUGUAAGCGCUGUGAGGCGUUGAGCUAACCAAUACUAAUUGCCCGUGAGGCUUGACCAUAUAACACCCAAGCAAUU